rnacentral:lncRNA from 1 species
GCUGAAUGCAUGAUCACAUGAAAUAAUAGAUGUGAUGCUGAUUUGAAGACUGUACAAGUGCCCUUUGGAACCUAUUCAUCUAAAGGAGCCAUUGACUAACUCCGAUGAGAGAAGGAUAUAUCAUUGUUGAACAGAAUUUCUGGAAUUCAUUAGAAGCUUGGACAUAUCUUUAUAAUGUCAGUGAUCUCUCUGCCUAUGGUGGCACCAGCAAGCCAGAUCAGCACAGUCAGUACCCUGAUGUCAUAGCUGACACUGUGGCUGGCGCAGAGUUCAGUUCACCAUGACAGAACUGUCUGGUUCUAUUCGAUGUUACUGUGGCCCAAAGACAUUCUUAAUCUUCACAAUACUACUAAAGUUCAAUCAGCUUCAUAAAUGUACAA